AAUCUCCGUCAGUCAUAACUGGACUCCUUGUGUGUGCGACCACCGAGACAUCACAACUAAUGCAAAGGAAAUGAGAAGCAUGUGACCAAAGUGACCAAUCACAUGCCACCUCUUAAAUUUCAAACGCUUGAGGCCACCACCACCACGAGGUAUACCCACAGUCUGCUCACACAGACCCUCGGAGACACCGCACAGUGUUUACCGGGUCCAGCGCACUCUGGACCAGCUGUGAUCGGCGCUCGUAAGCGCACACAGGUCAGCCUGCAAAUCCUAGAUGCGAGCACAUCACCGCUAAUCAGCGAGAGGAGACGGCACCCACAGCGAAUUCGGUAUAUCAGCUUCCACUCUUUUGGGAAGAGUUUCUACAGGAUUUUGAAGGUGUAACGGCUACCCAGGUAGAGAGAGGGUAUCAGCCGUUGAUGACGUCCUUUUCCCUGCACGCUGCUGUGUCAAAGUAAAGAUGGUAUAAUCCUAUUCACGACAUCCAGAGGGAGAGUCGGGUUGAGCUGUAAAAAGAGCAGAGUAAUAUUCCCAAAUAAUCCCCUUUCAAGAACGAGACGAGGCUACGUUUGAAGGGUCAAGAAGAACUCUUUAUUGUGGAACAAGUGUCUUCUUUUAUAGGAAGGACAUCACAGGGGGAAGGGUCAGUAAAGACAAUACAGGUGGAAGGUAGUCUGGGAGAUAAUCCAAUAAAGGCAAUACAGGUGACAGGUAGUCUGGGAGAUAAUCCAACAAAGGUAAUCCAGGUGACAGGUAGUCUGUGAGAUAAUCCAAUAAAGACAAUACAGGUGGAAGGUAGUCUGGGAGAUAAUCCAAUAAAGGCAAUACAGGUGACAGGUAGUCUGGGAGAUAAUCCAACAAAGGUAAUUAGCUCUCCCUAUAUAGUGCCUUGAGUGCAAAAGGUGUAUUGUGCACAGAAAGUGUAUGAAAACAGUAAAUAAAAGUAUUUUAACUCUGAGCUUUAUGUCACUGAACAACAUAAACUGAGGGGUACAAAUAGUGAUGUUCUUAGGUCCAUCCAAGUAGGUAGGGUGACUCUAGGAUCCGUCACAAGUAUAACUACCGAACGGCCGGUUGCAUUCUCUGGUAAUGGUAUUUCUCAUACAAUAUCCAUGCGAAUAACUCCAGCUAUUUUAACAGUCCAGGCAUGUAGUAUAGUCUCGUUACAGAAGGUGUCUGUGUGAGUUUAUGCCCCUUCACCCAGAAGAGAAUUUGUGAGGUCUCUUAGGGCCCGUUCACACUACAGAACCUCCAUGUGGAAAUAUUCCCAUCGGGGAUUCUUGCUAAAGCGGCCCCCGACCGCCUGCAUUUCUGAAUUCCUUUGAAAACAACGGCAGACUGCAGCAGAAUUUCCAAGUGAAAUUAUGAAAGUUUGUGGGCUGGAACUUUAAACUGAAGAAUUCAGAAAUAUUAGGGUAAGUUCACAAUACAGAAUUUAGCUAGAAAGUUUUCUUGCAAAAUUUCUGGCAGAAUCUUA